rnacentral:rRNA from 1 species
UGUAAGCGUAUACCAAAGUUGUUGCAGUUAAAACGCUCGUAGUCGGAAUUUGGCAGUUCCGGAUGUGUGCACGUCGUGUGCGCACUUCGCGGGGAUUGCUUUUGUGGUCUUGCGUAGGAUGAGGCACUUUUAUUAGUGAACGUCCUCACGCAACCACUUUUUACUGUGAGAAAAUCAGAGUGCUCAAAGCAGGCAUUUGCCGUGAAUGUAUUAGCAUGGGAUAAUAGAAUAGGACUUGGUUCUAUUUUGUUGGUUUGUUGGGACUGAGUAAUGAUUAAGAGGGACAGUUGGGGGCAUUUGUAUUUCGGUGCUAGAGGUGAAAUUCUUAGAUUACCGAAAGACAAACUGCUGCGAAAGCGUCUGCCAAGGAUGUUUCCAUUGA